rnacentral:SRP_RNA from 1 species
CCAAGGCGCGGUUGCACGUGCCUGUAGUCCCAUCUACUCGGGAGGCUGAGGCUGGAGGAUUUCUUGAGUCCAGGAGUUUGGGGCGGUAGUGUGGUAUGCCAAUCAGGUGUCUGCACUAAGUUUGGCAUCAAUAUGGUGACCUCCUGGGAACAGGGGACCACCAGGUUGCCUAAGGAGGGGUGAACUGGCCCAGGUUGGAAUAGCAGAUCAAAACUCCCGUGCUGAUCAGUAGUGGGAUCGCGCCUGUGAAUAGCCACUGCACUCCAGCCUGGGCAACAUAGCGAGACUCCGUCUCU